UGGGUCUCAAUGGUAGAGAACUUGCCUAACAUGCAUAAGGCCCUGGGUUCAAAGCCCAGCA
rnacentral:tRNA from 1 species